rnacentral:rRNA from 1 species
CUACGGGCUGCAGCAGUUAGGAAACUUCUACAAUGCGCGCAAGCGUGAUAGAGCGAGCCAAAGUGCGUUUCUAUAAUUGAAACGCUUUUGCCAGAUCUAAAAAUUCUGGCGAAUAAGGACUGGGAGAGACUGGUGCCAGCCGCCGCGGUAAUACCAGCAGUCCAAGUCGCAUCCUCUUUUAUUGGGUCUAAAACAUCCGUAGCUCGCUAAGCAAGUUCUGUGUAAAAUCUGGCAUCUCAAGUUUCAGGCUGCACAGAAUACUAUUUAGCUAGAGACCGGGAGACGUAAAGAGUAUGGGUUCGGGUAGCGGUAAAAUGCGUUGAUCCUUACUAGACUAACAACAGCGAAGGCACUUUACGAGAACGGUUCUGACAGUGAGGGAUGAAGGCUAGGGUCGCAAAACGGAUUAGAUACCCCAGUAGUC